rnacentral:rRNA from 1 species
UACGUAGGGCGCGAGCGUUGUCCGGAAUUAUUGGGCGUAAAGCGCGUGUAGGCGGCUUUGCAAGUCGGGUGUGAAAGCCCUCAGCUCAACUGAGGAAGUGCGCCCGAAACUGCAGAGCUUGAGUACCGGAGAGGGUGGCGGAAUUCCCCAAGUAGAGGUGAAAUUCGUAGAUAUGGGGAGGAACACCGGUGGCGAAGGCGGCCACCUGGACGGUUACUGACGCUGAGACGCGAAAGCGUGGGGAGCAAACAGG